ACUUCUUCAUCGCUACCUCUUUAUCUGCUGAUUUUGUAUAUCUCUAUCUGAAUUCUGAAUGAUAAAUCGGGAGGAAUUGCAGACGGAAAUUGUUCAGGGAUGGAAAAGAGGUUAAGAGACUCAGGAGAAGAUUAUCUACUUGUGCCUUUGAUAUUCUCACGCUGAAUUGGAAAAUAUCAGGUAGUUGAUAGACAGCUGCUAGGCGCUCUUUCCAUAGGUUUUCGACAAGAUUCACAAAAUUAAGAAUUAUUGAGGGAGUCGAUGGAAAAGAAGUAUACCAAAAGUACAGAUAAAUUUAAGAUGAUGAUCCACAUCUACAAAAAACCAGCCUUUGCGUUCAACUAAGGGUGCUUACGUUGAGCUUUAGAGAUUGUCUCUGUUUGCUAUAGAAACAUGCUUUGUUCUGAAGAGUUACUUGAUGCAUGGGACCAAAUACGAUAGUUCCUUAAGAAGUAAGGAGGAUACCCAUGCUGAAUUAAAUGCAGUUUUUGUCAGCUGUGGGUGAGAUGUGCUAGAUGAAAUAAUAGAUGCUAACUUCUUCGUCUCUGUGG